AAGAAUUCGCGUUUUUAACGUCUACAUUUACCGACUGCUCAUAAAUUAGUCGGUAAAAAGAGAUUUACCGACCGCAAUAUAGAUAGUCGGGAAAAAAAUAUUUAGCGACCGCCCUAGCAGUCGGUAAAAUAUUAUUUACCGACCGCAAAAUAAAUAGUCGGUAAAAAGUCAUUUACCGACCACACUUUCAGUCGGUAGCGAAACUAAUUUUCCAAAAAUAAAUUCCCGACUGCCUCACAUACCCUCACCCACCCUAAAGCCUAAACAAAACCCUUAAGCUCAUUUGAAACCCGCCUCUUUCUCUCACCUCCUCUCUUUCUCUUUAUCUCUCUUUCUCUCACCGGUUGUUCGAUCUCUUUCUCUGUCUCCCCCUUCACCUCCCCCUCUCCCCCACUCUUUUUCCUGUUAAAAAUCAACAUCAACGCAACAACAUCAACAACAUCAACGCAUCAACACAACAACAUCAACGCAUCAAGCUAGGCUUCAAUUUUGGAUCGAUUAUACUGAAUUUGCUCUAGUUUAGAUUUCCAGAUCUAGUAUUAUGGUGAAUAACUCAAGAGAACAAAGGAAUUGAAGUAAGAAGGGAGCAUAAGAAGCGUCGGAACUUACAGGAUUUCGUCGUUCUGGUCCACUUUGUUUGAAUUAGUUUGGUGAAUUUUCAAUUUUCAGAUCUACUCUAUUAGCAUAUUUGGUAUGUAAUUAUUUGAAUUUUUAUUUUUAUUGUUGGGUUGCAUUUAUUUAACCCCUUUUCCUAAAUUCAUUAAUUUUUCUUUUUAUAUGUAUAUAUUAAUUCAUCCCCUUUUUUUAUUUUCUGGAAAAUUGUUCAUCUUGUGAUUUUGAUAUGAA